AACGUAGGAGCCUAGCGUUAUCCGAAUUUACUGGGCGUAAAGCGCGUGCAGGCGGCUUCGUAAGUGGAUUGUGAAAUCUCCCGGCUCAACUGGGAGGGGACGGUCCAGACUGCGAGGCUGGAGGCAGGGAGAGGGAGGUGGAAUUCCCGGUGUAGUGGUGGAAAUGCGUAGAGAUCGGGAGGAACACCAGUGGCGAAAGCGGCCUCCUGGCCCUGACCUGACGCUGAGACGCGAAAGCUAGGGAGCGAACGGG
rnacentral:rRNA from 1 species